UCGAAUGGUUAUCGGAUUGUGUGCUUGCUUGCUUAAAUAUCAUAAAGUUCGCCACAAAGUGACCACGAAAUGAUCUCCCUAUUAAUAACAGUUUCGUGGUUUGUUACUCGUUUGAAUAAACGUAUAGUUUUGACAUCCCUUUCAAACGACACGCGGAUGUUUUGAAUUCAGAAUGUUUGUUGUACCACGAGCUAUCACGAAAUUAUGCUGUAUACCCUUAAGCAAAUUAAGCACUGGGCCAAAAGGUGUUUAUACAGUAGUUUCUUCCUGUGCUGCGUUGUGCACGUCUGUUUCAUCAUCUGAGCUAUCAGUUGUGUUUCUUUGAAGCAAAGAUGUAUAGAAUAGCACUGAAAGUCGGAGGUGUCAUAUUUGUUCAACCUGGUGUUAAACGUAAUUUCAAUUCUUGACCAGUGCAUGUAAAGAAAUUGAAAAUAAAACCGACUUGACUUGACUUGUCAUUGGGUCUGAUUUUAAAUGUGCCAUAUAGUUCAAUGUGGGAGCAGGUUCACACACUAAAUAAGACACUAAGGUCAAGCACAAGCAGAUUAAAAAAAAAAAAAAAAACAACAAUUCUCAGAGCAGAUUAGAGCUGACGUUUCAGGUUGCUGCCAUCAGAGAGUAGUGACUUGACCUUAGUGUCUUUAGUGUGCUCCCACAUUGAACUCUACUUUUUGGGUCCAUGCACCUACUUAUUUCUAAACAUCUAGAGCGCAACAAUACCCCUGCCUCCUGAUGUGCCAUAUAACCUGUAUCUCUCCAAGUGUGUGUGUGUGAGAGAGAGAGAGAAUGUGUGCACGCAGAUAUAAGAAGUUGGGGUUGAUGAUCCACAUGAUGGUGAUGGACCAGGACAGCUCUGGACCUCCUGACUGGCAGCUCCAUCCUCAACAUCUCUUCCUGCCCUUCACACAUGUGCAGGCAGCCAGUUUUCUGAAAGAUGGUUGAUGUCAGUACGAACAUGUUGUGAUGGAGGCUUCCACCUGAGCUGAACACAGAAACUUGCACACAGUGAUGGAAGCAGUCGUUCUUGUUCAGCAUCGAUAUGCCAGUAAUGGGUUUGAUGAGCCAGAUUUUUAUGUAGUGUAUUCUAUGUAUACCCUCUCGUGUGUGUGUCUG